rnacentral:rRNA from 1 species
AGUGAACGCUGGCGGCGUGCCUAAUACAUGCAAGUCGAACGGAGUGGAGCACGGGUGAGUAAUAUAUAGCUAAUCUGCCCCUUGCUGGAGGACAAACGUUAGAAAUGACUGCUAAUACUCCAUAUCACGGGAUGAGACUAUAGCGUAUCAGAUCGUCGGUGUGGUAACGGCCUACCGAGGCUAUGACGCGUAACUGGUCUGAGAGGAUGAGCAGUAACAUUGGAAGGGAGACAGGGUCCAGACUCCUACGGGAGGGAGCAGAAGGGAAUAUUGGGCAACGGGUGAGAGCGAGACGGAGCAACGCCGCGUGGAGGAUGACACUUUUCGGAGCGUAAAGUCCUUUUGUUAGGGAAGCGUUACCUAACGAAUAAGCACCGGCUAACUCCGUGCCAGCCGCCGCGGUAAUUC